GCGGACGUGGCGGAAUUGGUAGACGCGCUGGAUUUAGGUUCCAGUAUUCUAGGAUGUGAGAGUUCAAGUCUCUCCGUCCGCA
rfam:Thalassotalea sp. ND16A ctg108, whole genome shotgun sequence.